rnacentral:rRNA from 1 species
GAUGAACGCUGACAGAAUGCUUAACACAUGCAAGUCUUUGGCGAAGCUGUGCUUGCACAGCCUAGCCAAGGCGGACGGGUGAGUAACGCGUAAGGAACUUGCCCUGCAGUCAGGGAUAACAGACGGAAACGACUGAUAAGACCUGGUAAAGUCAGGCGGACUCAUGUCCAGCCUGAUGAAAAGAGAUGCUGCAGGAGAGCCUUGCGUCCUAUUAGCUUGUUGGUGGGGUAACGGCCCACCAAGGCGAUGAUAGGUAGCCGGCCUGAGAGGGUGGACGGCCACAAGGGGACUGAGAUACGGCCCUUACUCCUACGGGAGGCAGCAGUGGGGAAUAUUGGACAAUGGGGGCAACCCUGAUCCAGCAAUUCUGUGUGCACGAUGAAGGUUUUCGGAGUGUAAAGUGCUUUCAGCGGGGAAGAAAAAAAUGACGGUACCUGCAGAAGAAGCGACGGCUAAAUACGUG